rnacentral:rRNA from 1 species
GAUGAACGCUAGCGGCAGGCCUAACACAUGCAAGUCGAGGGGUAGAGCACUUCGGUGCUUGAGACCGGCGCACGGGUGCGUAACGCGUAUGCAAUCUACCUUAUACUAAGGGAUAGCCCAGAGAAAUUUGGAUUAAUACCUUAUGGUUAAUUUAGUUGGCAUCAAUUGAAUUAUAAAGAUUUAUUGGUAUAAGAUGAGCAUGCGUCCCAUUAGUUAGUUGGUAAGGUAACGGCUUACCAAGACGAUGAUGGGUAGGGGUCCUGAGAGGGAGAUCCCCCACACUGGUACUGAGACACGGACCAGACUCCUACGGGAGGCAGCAGUGAGGAAUAUUGGACAAUGGGCGCAAGCCUGAUCCAGCCAUGCCGCGUGCAGGAUGAAGCAUCUAUGGUGUGUAAACUGCUUUUGUACGGGAAGAAAAACAUUACGAGUAAUGUACUGACGGUACCGUAAGAAUAAGGAUCGGCUAACUCCGUGCCAG